UACGUAGGGGGCAAGCGUUGUCCGGAUUUAUUGGGCGUAAAGAGCGUGUAGGCGGCCAGGUAGGUCUGCUGUGAAAACUCGAGGCUCAACCUCGAGAUGUCGGUGGAAACUGCUUGGCUAGAGUCCGGAAGAGGAGUGUGGAAUUCCUGGUGUAGCGGUGAAAUGCGCAGAUAUCAGGAGGAACACCGGUGGCGAAAGCGACUUCCUGGACCAAUACUGACGCUCAUGUGCGAAAGCGUGGGGAGCAAACAGG
rnacentral:rRNA from 1 species